rnacentral:rRNA from 1 species
AGCGAACGCUGGCGGCAUGCUUAACACAUGCAAGUCGCGCGGGUGGUUUCGGCCAUCAGCGGCGGACGGGUGAGUAUCGCGUAGGAAUGUAUCCCGAGGUGGGGGACAACCCUGGGAAACUGGGGCUAAUACCGCAUGGGGCCUGAGGGUCAAAGCCUUAGGGCGCCUUGGGAGCAGCCUGCGUCCGAUUAGGUAGUUGGUGGGGUAAAGGCCUACCAUGCCUGGGAUCGGUAGCUGGUCUGAGAGGAAGAUCAGCCACACUGGGACUGAGACACGGUCCAGACUCCUACGGGAGGCAGCAGUGGGGAAUAUUGGACAAUGGGCGCAAGCCUGAUCCAGCAAGGCCGGGUGGGUGAAGAAGGUCUUCGGAUUGUAAAGCCCUUUCGGCGGGGACGAUGAUGACGGUACCCGCAGAAGAAGCCCCGGCUAACUUCGUG